GGUGGCUUAGUGGUAGAGCGCUUGCCUAGCAUGCAGGAAGCCCUGGGUUUGAUUCCUCAGCACCA
rnacentral:tRNA from 1 species